GAUGAAGAACGUAGCGAAAUGCGAUAAGUAAUGUGAAUUGCAGAAUUCAGUGAAUCAUCGAAUCUUUGAACGCACAUUGCGCCCCCUGGUAUUCCGGGGGGCAUGCCUGUCCGAGCGUCAUUACAACCCUCAAGCUCAGCUUGGUGUUGGGCCCCGCCGCCCCGGCGGGCCCUAAAGUCAGUGGCGGUGCCGUCCGGCUCCGAGCGUAGUAAUUCUUCUCGCUCUGGAGGUCCGGUCGUGUGCUCGCCAGCAACCCCCAAUUUUUUUCAGGUUGACCACGGAUCAGGUAGGGAUACCCGCUGAACUUAAGCAUAUCAAUAAGCGGAGGA
rnacentral:misc_RNA from 1 species